UACGUAGGGGGCGAGCGUUGUCCGGAAUCAUUGGGCGUAAAGCGCGUGUAGGCGGCUCGGUAAGUCUGCUGUGAAAGUCCAGGGCUCAACCCUGGGAUGCCGGUGGAUACUGUCGAGCUCGAGUCCGGGAGAGGCGAGUGGAAUUCCUGGUGUAGCGGUGAAAUGCGCAGAUAUCAGGAGGAACACCAAUGGCGAAGGCAGCUCGCUGGGACGUGACUGACGCUGAGACGCGAAAGCGUGGGGAGCAAACAGG
rnacentral:rRNA from 1 species